rnacentral:rRNA from 1 species
CAUAUCAAUAAGCGGAGGAAAAGAAACCAACAGGGAUUGCCCCAGUAACGGCGAGUGAAGCGGCAACAGCUCAAAUUUGAAAUCUGGCCCCUCCGGGUCCGAGUUGUAAUUUGUAGAGGAUGCUUUUGGUGAGGUGCCGCCCGAGUUCCCUGGAACGGGACGCCACAGAGGGUGAGAGCCCCGUCUGGCUGGCCACCGAGCCUCUGUAAAGCUCCUUCGACGAGUCGAGUAGUUUGGGAAUGCUGCUCAAAAUGGGAGGUAUAUGUCUUCUAAAGCUAAAUAUUGGCCAGAGACCGAUAGCGCACAAGUAGAGUGAUCGAAAGAUGAAAAGCACCUUGAAAAGAGGGUUAAACAGUACGUGAAAUUGUUGAAAGGGAAGCGCUUGUGACCAGACUUGGGCGCGGCGGAUCAUCCGGGGUUCUCUCCGGUGCACUUCGCCGCGUUCAGGCCAGCAUCAGUUCGUCGCGGGGGAAAAAGGCUUCGGGAACGUGGCUCCUCCGGGAGUGUUAUAGCCCGUUGCAUAAUACCCUGCGGUGGACUGAGGACCGCGCAUCUGCAAGGAUGCUGGCGUAAUGGUCACCAGCGACCCGUCUUGAAACACGGACCAAGGAGUCGUCUUCGUAUGCGAGUGUUCGGGUGUCAAACCCCUACGCGUAAUGAAAGUGAACGCAGGUGAGAGCUUCGGCGCAUCAUCGACCGAUCCUGAUGUUCUCGGAUGGAUUUGAGUAAGAGCAUACGGGGCCGGACCCGAAAGAAGGUGAACUAUGCCUGUAUAGGGUGAAGCCAGAGGAAACUCUGGUGGAGGCUCGCAGCGGUUCUGACGUGCAAAUCGAUCGUCAAAUAUGGGCAUGGGGGCGAAAGACUAAUCGAACCUUCUAGUAGCUGGUUUCCG